rnacentral:tRNA from 1 species
GCGCCGUUAGUAUAUCGGUAGUAUGCCACCUUCCCAAGGUGAUUGGCCGGGUUCGAUUCCCGGACGGCGCA